CUUGUACACACCGCCCGUCACACCAUGGGAGCGGGUUCUGCCAGAAGUAGUUAGCCUAACCGCAAAGAGGGCGAUUACCACGGCAGGGUUCGUGACUGGGGUG
rnacentral:rRNA from 1 species